rnacentral:rRNA from 1 species
AGCGCAGGCGGAUCGGUAAGUGGAAAGUGGAAUUCCGGGGCUCAACCUCGGAAGUGCUUUCCAAACUGUCGGCCUUGAGUACGUGAGAGGAAGGCGGAAUUCAGGGUGUAGCGGUGAAAUGCUUAGAUAUCCUGAGGAACACCAAUGGCGAAAGCAGCCUUCUGGCACGAAACUGACGCUGAGGCUCGAAAGCGUGGGGAGCGAACA